rfam:TPA: Bos taurus chromosome 21, whole genome shotgun sequence.
UCCCAGAUGGCUCAGCAGUAAAGAAUCUGCCUGCAAUGCAGGAGACUCAGGUUUGAUCCCUGUGUUGGGAA